rnacentral:rRNA from 1 species
UCCGCCGGCGACCGGCGCACGGGUGAGUAACACGUAUGCAACCUGCCCGUUGCAGGGGAAUAAGCGGAAGAAAUUCCGUCUAAUACCGCAUAAUAUCCUUUGGAGACAUCUCCUGAGGAUUAAAGAUUUAUCGGCAACGGAUGGGCAUGCGGCGCAUUAGCUUGUUGGCGGGGUAACGGCCCACCAAGGCGACGAUGCGUAGGGGUUCUGAGAGGAAGGUCCCCCACACUGGUACUGAGACACGGACCAGACUCCUACGGGAGGCAGCAGUGAGGAAUAUUGGUCAAUGGGCGAGAGCCUGAACCAGCCAAGUCGCGUGAGGGAAGACGGUCCUAUGGAUUGUAAACCUCUUUUGUCGGGGAGCAAUGGAUUCCACGUGUGGGAUCCGGGAGAGUACCCGAAGAAAAAGCAUCGGCUAACUCCGUGCCAGCAGCCGCGGUAAUACGGAGGAUGCGAGCGUUAUCCGGAUUUAUUGGGUUUAAAGGGUGCGUAGGCGGAAGAUUAAGUCAGCGGUAAAAUCGAGGGGCUCAACCCCUUCCCGCCGUUGAAACUGGUUUUCUUGAGUGGAAGAGAAGUAUGCGGAAUGCGUGGUGUAGCGGUGAAAUGCAUAGAUAUCACGCAGAACCCCGAUUGCGAAGGCAGCAUACCGGCUUCCAACUGACGCUGAAGCACGAAAGCGUGGGGAUCGAACAGGAUUAGAUACCCUGGUAGUCCACGCGGUAAACGAUGAACACUAGGUGUCCGGAGCGAUUGGGCUCUGGGUGCCACAGCGAGAGCGUUAAGUGUUCCAAAUGGGGAGUACGCCGGCAACGGUGAAAACUCAAAGGAAUUGACGGGGGCCCGCACAAGCGGAGGAACAUGUGGUUUAAUUCGAUGAUACGCGAGGAACCUUACCCGGGCUCAAACGCAGGAUGCAUGUCUUUGAAAGGAGGCAGUUCCUUGGAACAUCCUGCGAGGUGCUGCAUGGUUGUCGUCAGCUCGUGCCGUGAGGUGUCGGCUUAAGUGCCAUAACGAGCGCAACCCCCAUCGCCAGUUGCUAACAGGUAAUGCUGAGGACUCUGGCGAGACUGCCGGCGCAAGCUGCGAGGAAGGCGGGGAUGACGUCAAAUCAGCACGGCCCUUACGUCCGGGGCGACACACGUGUUACAAUGGCAGGUACAGAGAGAAGCCAUCCCGCGAGGGAGAGCGGAACUUCAAAGCCUGUCUCAGUUCGGAUUGGAGUCUGCAACCCGACUCCAUGAAGCUGGAUUCGCUAGUAAUCGCGCAUCAGCCACGGCGCGGUGAAUACGUUCCCGGGCCUUGCACUCACCGCCCGUCAAG